GCGACAGAGAGUAGAAAAAACUGUCUGUCUCUCUGCCAAUCAUAAAAUAAGCAACCUGCUGUCAAAUAAACAAAUAAACCAAUCUGAAAAGUUUAAAAUAAGUCAUUACUUCGGAUUUGACAGUGCACAAACCUGGAGAUCCUUCUCGUGUAGCUGGCAUUUGUUUCCAGGCAGAUAUUUUUCUAUAGGGGGGCACAGAGGCAUAGCUGGUAGCUUACAGCAGCAAGGUCCCCCAUCCAAUUCUGAUCCCAGGAUACUGCAAGAGAAGAGUUUUGUAGAGUGAUUCAUCCAGAUUGUCCAGUUUUCUUCCACCUCCACAGAACUUGCCAAGCAGAGGAUUGCUUAUGCCUAAAUUGGCCCCAGCCCUUGUUUGGCUUUGACUGGCACCACACAUUACCCUCGGCUCCAAUCACUUCUACAAAUUUUGUUAAGGUUUGUAACACUAAUUGUAACACCAAUCUUCUUAUCCCUACACUGAUUAACUGUUAAGUUUCAAAUUGACCACAAACUACCGCUACUUACCUACAAAACACUAAAUGGUU